UCGAGCGCUGGAAUAUCAAUAAUUCACGUAAUAAUUAAAUUCGAGUGUGUUGAAAUUCUGCACAACUAUAGCCACAAAAUCAAUAAUAAUGUUGUCCAUAAUUAGAUCGGCGCUAAGAUUUGGUAUUUAGUUGCUACCGACGAUGAUGGUUUACCAUAUCAUGCAUACGAUUGCAUUCGAUUUUUUCAUUCCGUUGCUAUCGGUACUGGAUAUGUGAAGACCACCGAGUCUGCGAAGAAUUUGACGACAAAAAAAUCGGAAACCACCACUAGCUAUAUGGUUUUUCCAGGCUUUGACGGAAAUUAUACGUAUAAAACAGCAGGUGUGCCUGACCAGGCGACCAAGAUCGUUUUGACAGAUUCCCUGACCUAUUACGUCGAAAUUAGUUGUGUGGAUGAAGGCGGUGAGGCCAAAUUGUAUGUGGGAAUAUUUUCUACAUUACCGAAGCUGAGUCCCUUAACAUUGGAUGCCAUUUACAAAUUCUUGGAGGGACAACAAAUCGAAACAUCUAAACUGAGAUUCGUUGACCAAAAAAUAACCAGCUGUGCUUUAUAAAAUGUUGAUCUUUCUCUUUGGGGAUUCUAGGAAAUUGAUUUUUCUUAUA